CAUUAAGUGGCUGAAACUUUUAAGCAUUGGUCUCUUAAACCAAAAAAUAGUAAAUUAAAGGAUACUCUUAAUGA
rnacentral:tRNA from 1 species